rnacentral:rRNA from 1 species
UGGGGAAUAUUGGACAAUGGGCGCAAGCCUGAUCCAGCCAUGCCGCGUGAGUGAUGAAGGCCUUAGGGUUGUAAAGCUCUUUCGCCGGUGAAGAUAAUGACGGUAACCGGAGAAGAAGCCCCGGCUAACUUCGUGCCAGCAGCCGCGGUAAUACGAAGGGGGCUAGCGUUGCUCGGAAUCACUGGGCGUAAAGCGCACGUAGGCGGAUCGUUAAGUCAGGGGUGAAAUCCUGGAGCUCAACUCCAGAACUGCCCUUGAUACUGGCGAUCUCGAGUUCGAGAGAGGUUGGUGGAACUCCGAGUGUAGAGGUGAAAUUCGUAGAUAUUCGGAAGAACACCAGUGGCGAAGGCGGCCAACUGGCUCGAUACUGACGCUGAGGUGCGAAAGCGUGGGGAGCAAACAGAAUUAGAUACCCUGGUAGUCCACGCCGUAAACGAUGGAUGCUAGCCGUUGGGGGGUUUACCUCUCAGUGGCGCAGCUAACGCCUUAAGCAUCCCGCCUGGGGAGUACGGUCGCAAGAUUAAAACUCAAAUGAAUUGACGGGGUCAUAGCUGUUUCCU